GAUGAAGAACGCAGCGAAAUGCGAUAAGUAAUGUGAAUUGCAGAAUUCAGUGAAUCAUCGAAUCUUUGAACGCACCUUGCGCCCUUUGGCCAUUCCGAAGGGCAUGCCUGUUUGAGUAUCAUGAACACCUCAACUCUUUAUGGUUUUCCAUGAUGAGCUUGUACUCUGGGGGUUUUGCUGGCUCACAGUCGGCUCCUCUAAAAUAAAUCAGCUUACCAGUGUUUGGUGGGUAUCAUGGGUGUGAUAACUAUCUACGCUUGUGGUUUUUCCACCAGGUAACCUUCAGCAGUGGAGGUUCGCUGGAGCUCAUAGACGUCUCUCCUCAGUGAGGACAGCUCUUUGAACGUUUGAUCUCAAAUCAGGUAGGACUACCCGCUGAACUUAAGCAUAUCAAUAAGCGGAGGA
rnacentral:misc_RNA from 1 species